rnacentral:rRNA from 1 species
UCGAGAAUCUUCGGCAAUGGGCGCAAGCCUGACCGAGCGACGCCGCGUGCGGGAUGAAGGCCUUCGGGUUGUAAACCGCUGUCGGAGGGGAGGAAAUGCUAGUGGGUUAUCCCUCUAGUUUGACCGAUCCUCGGAGGAAGUACGGGCUAAGUUCGUGCCAGCAGCCGCGGUAAGACGAACCGUACGAACGUUAUUCGGAAUCACUGGGCUUAAAGGGUGCGUAGGCGGCGCGGUAAGUUAGGUGUGAAAUCCCUCGGCUCAACCGAGGAAUUGCGCUUAAAACUACCGUGCUAGAGGGAGAUAGAGGUGAGCGGAACUUAGGGUGGAGCGGUGAAAUGCGUUGAUAUCCUAAGGAACACCAGUUGCGAAAGCGGCUCACUGGGUCUUUUCUGACGCUGAGGCACGAAAGCUAGGGUAGCGAACGGGAUUAGAUACCCCCGUAGUCC